GGACAGGUGUUGUGUAUUUAUUGG
rnacentral:siRNA from 1 species